AGAAGCCCUCCUCCCGAUCUGCUAAAAAAUAGCCCUCCCGUAUCCCUAACCUCAUCCCCACCAUCCCACCCAUCGCCUGCAAUGGAUCCGCCGCCGCGCUGAUCCCGACCAUCCGCCGCCGCUCUUUGCCCCAUCCACCGCCGCUGCUCACCGCAUUCACCCUCUGUUGCAUCCCAGCACCUCCAUAGCCACCGUGGACCAUCUCUCUCCUUGGUCCUCUCUUGGAUCAACAUGCGGUGACGGAUGCUUCCGGUCGCGUGGUGGUGAUGCGGCUGGUCGGGGAACAAGGGUGAGGCGGACUGUGUCCCAUUCAUUGAUCUUCCUCCAGCUCCAAUUCCUCCUCUCCCACCGAUCGUCAUGUCUGCGACAGGCGCUCUGCUCACCUGCGGCAGCGAUGCGUAUGGCGACAACAAUGUCCUUUUGUGCCCCUCCACUCUUCGGACCGCUGAUGCACGGAAGUACGCAGAGAAGAUCACGCUCCGCUUAGCAAAUUCGUCCGUGUUCUAAGUGGCUGCUCGGCAAGAGCUUGUGCCGGAUGUUCAUCAUCAACGCCAGAUAGGGGUUCAGGCUCCUGUUGAACUGAUGGCAUCAGCCAUAUGGACCUGCAUGUAUUUGAUAGUUUGCUCAAUCAGAUUUAUCCCUUCAACCAUAGUUAAGGAUACCACACUACUUCAUUGAGAUUUCUUUCCUACAUGACAUGGAUUUAUAAUCUCCAACAAUACGGUCAUGCUUUUUAUAUUUACUUUCAGUUCUAAAUACAUUUGUGAUUUUCUAUAUGCUGUCUUACUAAACUGUGUGUGCUAAACCAACCAUAUAGUAUAUAGAAAGGAUUUUAAAAUGUUAGCUUAUAUUGCAAAAUCUUGAAAAUAUGCGGUCUUUUUACUGUUUUUUCCGUGAACUUGGGGAGCUUGGGACAGAGUAUGGUGUCAAUAAGCAGUAUAUACCAGGACAAUAUUUUUGUGAUAUUGUAUAUACUAACUUAGUGAUAAUGGAGUGUUUACCAUAUUUUUGCCAUGGACUCUAUACUGCAUUUUUGAACUGGUUAGAAUAGCUGACGCCUUUUUUAUCUUCCUUGUGGUAUAUGCUACCAUCAGAGGGAGUAUGUAAGGUACUAAUUUCAAGUAUAUACUAUUGUACUAUAUUUUGUCUAUAUACAUCUACAACCAAGUAGUAUGUGCACUGCUCUUUGUGCACGGCAGUAUAUACAUCAUUUUUGUAAGGCAAUAAUAACACCUUUUUUGUGAACUAGUAUACUACUUUAUUUAGUCAGUACAUAUAUAAGUAAUCUUUUAGUCGAUAUAUACUACUGUUCUUGAUAUAAAGGGUAAAGCAGCGCACACAUGACACGCAGCAGCCGUUGUCGACUAGACGGUGGUGCCGCUGCAUGGAUCUAUCAGUGCAUGCCACGCCGCCACCGUUUCUUAUUGUUGCCGUUGUCGAUGAGAUUUGCAGUGACGUCGAAUGGGUCGACCAGUGCACACCAUGCUGCCACAUUGUCGAUGAGAUGGUGGUGCCGUCUUAUCCAUCGAUGCUAUGUGACUAGCUUCGUCAAUGGCUUUGCACCUUGAUCCAGAUUGUUUUCACGCAUAGCAUGUCAUGUUUGCCUCUUAAUGACCACAUCCGCUAAGUCAGCUCUCUCUCUCUACUACUGCAACUAACUAACUGUGAUGAUCUUCUCCAGGUUUUUUGGUUGGAUACUGAGAUGGCACCAUUGUGCUGCUGAAGUUAAACCCUGUUUAUUGGGACGUACAAGCGGUCGGCAAGCACACAUGGCGGCCAGGGAUAAGCCAUACUUUUCCAAUGACUGCUGCUAGGAUUGAUGUCCUAUUGCCGGAGAAACAAUGGCAACAGUCACCCGUUUUGUCCAGCGAUGAUAUCAUCCAUGUCUAUUAUUUUGUCAAUCACCAUAGAUAUUCAUGUAUCGGCCUCACGCGUGUCGUUGCUGGAGCCCAUUCAUGGCGAGGAUACAUGGUUGAUGGCCCAACAAUCCUUAUGGGAUGGAAGGAUCCCAUGACUAUAUAGGAAUGGCACUAAAUAAACUGUGUACUAACUAGAGAAAUGAUUUAUUUCAUAGGUCUAGAAUAUAUAGGCUGACAAGUAUUUGGCAUUCUGUCUUUUUAAUAAGUAGAUGAUUUUUCUACAAUAGUUCCAUGUUCAUAUGUCAUGCUUCUUUGGUGCAAUAGGAAACAAUGCCAUUGAUCGACCAGAUUAUAUAGGGAUUUAUAUCAUCCUGAUAUAUAUAUUUCUACAAGUAGUUUAUACGAGCCUCAAAACACUGAUUUUCGAUAAA